ensembl:lncRNA
ACCGUGUGUGUCAGUGUGGCAAACAAGUAGUUGUGAGGUGCCUGGACUGCCUGUCUCUUCCAUUCCUUUGUGCUGACUGUGAUAUUGCAGUUCACACACGCGUUGUCCUGCACAGCAGAGAGGCAGUAACAGGAGGGUUUUUGCAGCCUUCAUCAGAGUUUCACAAGCCAAUAGUUCGGCUGUUGCCUGUGCAAAGGCCAGACUGUGUGUGACUGCCCAGCAGGUAACGUUGAGGUUUCACCCGGCGCAAUUGUGGCUCUUGUAACCAUAAAUGGCCGUUAUAACCUUGCACUGCCAGUGGUGAGCUGCACCAGCUGUGGCCUAAUGUGGUCCCCCUCAGUUAAGGACAUCCUGGGUAGUGGAUAUUGGCCUGGCACCUUAAAUUUCUGCACCCUGUUUUCAAUGGAUGCCUUUCAGUCUUUCUAUGACAUUAAGAAGGCUGCACCAGGGAUGUCACUUAAGGCAUUUGUCAAAAUGCUGGAUGAACGAACAGCCCAUUUUGGAAGGAAUGGCCGAAUAUCAGCUGAUGCCUUCAGUAAAAGUUUCUUGGAGUGGAGUGCUGUAAAGUUUGAGGUGGACAGGAUGUGCAAGGAGCCAUGCUUUAGCUGCCCUGCCUGCACUCCACACAUGCUUGCCGUCUCAGUUGAUGGAAACCGCAAGCUUUAUCGCUUUCAGUCUAAUGCAAGGUACAUUAUGCAUUGUGGACAUAAGUCAAAUAUGGAUUUGUAGAAAAAUGUAUUUUAAUGUUUCUUUUCAAACAACUGUCACUGUGUUCGUUCAGCACUUCAGAGCAGGGGAACUUUGAAGGUGUCUUCAUUGAGAAAGAUGAGGAAGUUGCUGAGUUUGUGAAAUACAUCCAGAGACACACAAAUCAUGUAAGAUACACAUAUAUAUAUUAGUGCUGUUAAUCUUGUUAAAAUGACGUUAAUGCCGUAACCAUAUACACAUACGUGUGUGUGUGUGUGUGUGUAGACAUAUAUGGAUGGGUCGAUAUUUUUUUUUUAUUUUUCUCUUGGUGUUGUCGUAAUACUAUUUACUUUACUUUAUCUUAAUGUGUACUUAAUUUUGUCACCAUGUGUAUUUAAAAAAAACAACAUGAUUUUUAUUUUGUGUUAUCAGUGCUGUCCUGGGGAGAUAUGAGGUCUUGUGUGACUCGAGGCUAAUUCAGCUAAUUGUUAUGCAUUUGUUUUAAAAAGUUUGUCCCUGAUAGGGCUUCAUCAUGUCAUGUCUUUUAUGUUAAAAUCUUUGAGUGUAUAGGUCCCGGGGAAAGGGUUGUGCGGAUCUUCAUCUUGGACUGCAGCAAAGGAGUCGUCCAAAAAGUCCACUGGGAAGUUGGAUGAGGAGGGCAUGGAAAUAGCUGUUUGUCGCCACGGAGUCCUCUUAGCUGCAUUGAACAUGUUUCGAGGGGAGAUCUUUGCUUACCCCCUUUUUCUCCAGAGGAAGUUGGCAGCUAGCGUCCCAGGACAUAUUACGUUCCUUUGCUCCGAUGUGACCUGUAAAUAUUUCCCCUAUUUAACCAAGGUGGCUCAGCAGUGCCCUGAGCUGAGGAACCUCUUGUCAAUGCUUCCUCUUCUCUCCGUCAUGCAUGCAAAGCUCACACUUGGAAAUGCGAGAUCAAAUGGGGAGGUGCGUUUCAGGAUGGGGCCGGUUCAACAGUUGGAGAAGAGGUGGAACAAGUAAACAGUUUCCUGUCUAGGGCGGCCAUCACAACGAAGUACAUGUCUAAAGCAGGGCGAACAGACAUGCUGACCCUCCUGGCUUUGGGCUGGAACAAAAGGAAAGUGGAACAACUGGGCCGCACUUUGAGCCAGCGAUAUCUAAAGAUCAUAAGGAUCCUUAGAGAACAAGUGGAGAGCCUGAAUGCGAGCAGAAAUGAGCUGGGUGUGGAUGACGACACACUGCAGCAAUGGGCUGAAGAAAGUGAUCAAACUGAUGGCAGCCUUGGAGCGUUGCAGGCACGAAUAGAGGAGCUUGUCGUCAUCAUCAGAGUGCGAACACAAAGUCUUUACAGACAAAAUGAUAGCAACAAGAGGCGACACAGAAUUCGCAAGGUCAUCUUAGUUGAGAAGAAACGCUUGGCGGCUGCUGUUGACGACUACAACAAGCUCGCUGAACCAACAAAGCAAAUCGUAUCCAGUGAUGCCCUCAUGCAGAGCGACGUUUGGCCCUGGCAGAGCACAAGUGAACCUGCUGCUGACCUCCGGACAAAGAGAAAGGUCUUUGAGAAGGUGAUGGCUGUGAGGCGCCUGAGAGAGGAGGAGAUGAUGCUCUGCAGGGAGAUGCAGCAUCACUGGACAGUGUUGCGAAUGCGUUCUGUGGUGUUGGGGACAAUCUCCUCAGACUGUAAGCACUUUAUUUAUUUAUUAAUUUUUUGAUGAAUCGAUUGAAAAUAAGAGCAGAUGCUAAAGUCUUACUGGAUCUUUUACCUAUAUCUAGAUUGCUAGCUAACACUGCCUUCUCCCUUUUAAAAAAAUGUUUAAUUACAGCAUCCUAAUUCCUUGUGUUUAUGAGGUGAUGUUUUUUUGUUUGUUUGUUUUUUUUACUUUUCUCAUUUAUUUGUUUUGUUCUUUUUACAGCCUCCUUUGUUGGCAUGUCGGAGGAUGCACAGAAGGGACUCUGUAGCCUGGUUUUAAAAAAACAAAGUGAACUGAAAGCUGAAAUGCUCAAAGUAAAGGACGUGUACAAGAGAAUCCUCAGCCACCAACCACUCCUGGAAAUGGACUCGGAGGAGGAGGAGGACAUUCCAGACGAUGCCACUGAGAGUGAUUUGAGCACUUCUGAUGAAGACUGAUUGUGUCAUCAUUGAUGUUAUGUUUGGUAAAAUAAAAAGUUAAUCACAUCUCUGUUCAAUGUGAUUUUUCAACAGACAUUUUACAUUUUGAGAAGAAAAAUGGAAUUUCCUUGGUGCAGUUGUUUACCCUGAAUCAUUAUUUCCCAUCUAAUUUAAUGACUAGUGUACAUGUUCAGAUACGAUAACAUAAUUUAAUUUAUGGGAUGCUUUCUGGGCUGCUCAAAUUAUCACAAAAU